ACAAACUUGGUCAUUUAGAGGAAGUAAAAGUCGUAACAAGGUCUCCGUUGGUGAACCAGCGGAGGGAUCAUUAAUGAGUUGUAAAACUCCCAAACCCUUUGUGAACAUUACCAUGUUGCCUCGGCGGCGAAAGGUUGCUACCCUGUAGCUACCCGGUAUCCGCCGCAGGACCCCUAAACUCUGUUUUAUUAGGCACUUCUGAGUCUUUCUAAAAUAAGUUAAAACUUUCAACAACGGAUCUCUUGGUUCUGGCAUCGAUGAAGAACGCAGC
rnacentral:misc_RNA from 1 species